GAUGAAGAACGCAGCGAAAUGCGAUAAGUAAUGUGAAUUGCAGAAUUCAGUGAAUCAUCGAAUCUUUGAACGCACAUUGCGCCCCUUGGUAUUCCGAGGGGCAUGCUUGUUCGAGCGUCAUUAUAACCCCUCAAGCUCAGCUUGGUGUUGGGGCCUGCUGCACUGGCAGCCCUUAAAAUCAGUGGCGGCGCCAUCUGGCUCUAAGCGUAGUAAUUCUUCUCGCUAUGGAGUCCUGGUGGAUGCUUGCCAUCAACCCCCAAUUUUUCUAUGGUUGACCUCGGAUCAGGUAGGGAUACCCGCUGAACUUAAGCAUAUCAAUAAGCGGAGGA
rnacentral:misc_RNA from 1 species